rnacentral:rRNA from 1 species
CAGCCCUAACACAUGCAAGUCGGACGGUGGGAACCACAGUGGCAAAUGGGUGCCUAACGCGUAACCCACGUGCCAUCAACUGGGGGAUAGCCCGGCGUAAUCUGGGGUAAACCGGCACGGUCCAGUUCUAUCACGUGGUGGGAUUGGUAAACAUUUAUGGGUUGAGGAGGGGCUUGCGUCUGAUUAGCUAGCUGGCAGGGUAACGGCUUACCAAGGCGAUGAUCAGUAGGGGUUCUGAGAGGAUUGGCCCCCACAUGGAUACUGAGAUACGGACCCGACUCUUACGGGAGGCACCAAUAGGGAAUAGUGGGCAAUGGAGGCAACUCUGACCCAGCCAUGCCGCCUGCAGGAUGAAGGCGCUCAGCGUUGUAAACUGCUUUUACUCAUGAAGAAUUGUGGGGAUGCGUCCGUACUUGACGGUAAUGAGGGAAUAAGCACCGGCUAACUCCGUGCCAGCAGCCGCGGUAAU